rnacentral:lncRNA from 1 species
GUUGUAGAAGUUAGUCUAAGGGUCAGAUUGUGAUAGUCAUGAGCUCGGGUAAGCUUGGUACUUCCUCUUUGUUUCUUUGUUGUUCAAGAAUAAUAGAUAGUUUUUGAAUAUUAUGAAGUGAAUCUGUGGAAUAAAUCAAAGUUUGAUUUAUGAGUUAUUGAUUAUGUAAUUGGAAUAUUGUGUGGUUGGAUUAUUGUGAGAAGAUAUUGGGAGUUUUUUAUCAGAUUCUGCAGAAGAUAGUUAAUGGAUGGAAGAUUGUGAUUAUUGUUUAUUGAGAAUUGUGUGUUUUUCUACAAAAGAAGUCUGUAAUUACAGAAAUUAUGUGAAGAUAGAUUGUUUGGAAUAGAAGUCUGUUAUUUCUGGUGUUGGAUGGAAUUUAUGUAUUUGGAGCGGUCUUUUAAGACAGUGCGAGAGUUGCGCUUUGUUGUUACUACUGAUUGUAGAAUACUAUUAAGAAGUGGAA